GCCUCCAUGUAUUAAACUAAUAUGUGUAAUAAGAAUAAUCCGGGGGAGGAGCCAAGAUGGCCGAAUAGGAACAGCUCCGGUCUACAGCUCCCAGCGUGAGCGACGCAGAAGACGGGUGAUUUCUGCAUUUCCAUCUGAGUCACAUCCUGCUCAUUUUGACAAACGCAGAGUCAUGUACCCAUCACUACAAUCAAGUUACAGACCAUCUCCAUAACUCCAAAGAAUUCCCACACACUCCAUUGUAGCCCCACGGACAACCACCAGUCUGUGUUCUCUUCUGGUAGUUUUGCCUUUUUGAGACAGUCACAUAAAAUGGAACCACUUAGUAUAUAGCAUUUUGAGUUUGGUUGUUUUCACUUAACAUAAUAUAUUAAAGAUUUAUCCAUGUUGUUGCAUGUAUCAGUGGCUUAUUUCUUUUUCUUGCUAAAUAGUAUUACUUUGUAAGGAUGUAUACAAAUUGUUUAUCCAUUUACUUGCUGAUGAACAUACAGACUGUUUUCAGUUUUUGACAAUUCCAAAAAAGUCACUUUACAAAUAUUCAUACACAAGACUUUAUGUAAUAUGUUUUCAUUUCCCUUGGAUAGGAGUGAGACUGUUGGGUUGUAUGGUAAGUGGAUGUUUAACUUUAUGAAAAUCUUUCAAACUGUUUUAAAGAGUUAUUGUACCAUUUUGCAUUUUCACCAGCAAUGUAAGAGAAAUUUAGUUCCUCCUCUUCUUCAACAGUAUUUGAUACUGUCAUUAAAAAAAAUUUAGCUACUCUAAUAGACAUUUUGUAGUAUCUAGUUGUGAUAUUAAUCUUUACUCCUCUGAUGACUAGUGAUGUCAGGCAUCUUUUUAUGUGUUUAAUUGUCAUAUGUGUAUCUUUUCUGGUGAUGGAUUUGGUAAAAUAUUUGGCCAAAAAUUUUGAGGGGGAAUUUCUUGUCUUAUUAUUAUUGCAUUGUCUGAAAUUUUAAAAUUUAUUCUGUAUUCCAGUUCUCUUUCUGAUAGGUUUCCUGCAAAUAUUUUCUGUUAAUGUGUGGCUUGUCUUUUCAUUUUCCAAACAACAUUUUUGAAUGUAUUUAUUCACAACUUUAAAAUUUUGAUUAAGACAAUUUUGAUUAAAAACCAUUUAAAAGUAUCUUUCUUUUCUGAAUCACACUCUAAUUUUUUAUAUUAGAAGUCCAUAUCAUUUCUAUGCAAUUUCUAUGAAACAUACAUGAGGACUUACUGCCUUUUAAAUAAAUAUUCUUACAGAAUAUUUCAGAGUAAGUAAUAUUUUAUCUGAUGAACUUCUUCAAACAAUGAUUAGCACACACUUGGUCUACAAAUGCUACAUUUUGGUCUCAUUUUAAUUACUACCAUUAUUUGAUCUUUCCCAUCUCUCAAGUGAAGAAUGCCUCUCUCCCUGAAAUCAUCUGCCUUCAUUGGUAUUCAGGAGAUGUCCUGGAAAGAUAUUAUCACUUUAGGCAAGCAAUUACAUCUUAUUCUCUCUUGGCUAACCCUGGUAGCACACUUUAGUGAUAUUCAGAAUCACAGAAAAUCAAGUCAUUGCUAUUCUACUCUAAGCUUCUAUCCAGUAUAUGCCUGCCACAUUCGCAGCAUAAUUCAUAUUGGACAUAUUUAUGGCAAUGGUAUCCAUGAAUUUAAAACAAAUAAAAAUAAAAAUAAAUUUCUUACAGUUUUGUACCCAUAGCCAUUGUGUGAAUGAUUAAAAAAGAAAAAAGGAAAAGGACUAAAAUACUAAAGGGACAAUGUGGGAAUGAUUUUUUAAAAAGAGAGAAGGAAAAGUACUAAAGAGAGAAAUCAGAAAAAUUACAUAUGGAAAUCAACUUGAAUCAUGUUUCAGGGUGGAUAUUUCAAAAAUGAAAAAUGUGGCACCACGUGAAAAGAGAACUGGUUUGAAAUAAAAUAAGAAAACACAACAGACUGGACCUAGUUUUCAAAGCCCAAACCUAUAAAGGUAAACUGAAUUAUGACUGAGUUUAGGAUCUAGCAAAUCCUGGAUCUAUUUCUAUUACCAAAAAAAAGAAAAAUCAAACCUUUGAAUUGUCAGAUUAAUACUGUCCUCCAAAAAAUGAACAAAUAUAGAUAUUCCCCGAUCUUUAGUGUGUUUUAGUUACAUGUGAGAUCACAUAUAUUAAUCCCUCAGGUGAUUAUCAUCUUUAUCCUUAGGGCAGACAAGACAGACAUUAUUAUUCCCAUUUUAUAGUUAAGGAAACUGAAGUUGAGGGAGAUAGUUAAUAAAUGGAAAGAUAACUAGAUUUAAAGUUAGGAGACCUGGGUUUGAAUAUAGACUGCCUCUUCCAAGCUUUGUGGUUACAGAAAAUUCACAUUCUUAAAAUGAUUGAGACAAAAAAGGAACUCAUAGGGCCUAAGGCUAAAUGGGGGAACCAGAAUGAGGAAUCCUCAUCUAAGGAACAUUUUGUACUAGACAGCAUUGCUUCUCUAAGUCCAUCUCAACUUUAAAACGAAAAAAGUAGUUUCAUAAAACCAUGAAGUAACAUUACAAAAUUUCUAACAUAGUGUGGGAAAAUAGAAUUUAAAAGUUAUUACACAUAUUAUUGCUUAUUUCAUACUGUAUAUAAAAUUAUGUUUAUGGGAAAAAAACAGAAGUGGUUAUCUCAGAUGAGGGAAGUAAGAUUAAGGAAGAAAGUGGGCUGAGGAAAAUAAUUGUUAUUAGGGUGGUUAUACAAAUGAUUUAAGUAAGACUUUAAUUUUGCUAUAUUUUUUGUUUGUUUUUGUUUUGAGAUGGAGUUUCACUCUUGUUGCCCACACUGGAGUGCAAUGGUGCAAUCUAGGCUCACCGCAACCUCCACCUCCUGGUUCAAGCGAUUCUCCUGCCUCAGCUUCCUGAGUAGCUGGGACUGCAGGCAUGCGCCACCACGCCCGGCUAAUUUUGUAUUUUUAGUAGAGACAGGGUUUCUCCAUGUUGGCCAGGCUGGUCUCAAACUCCCAACCUCAGGUGAUCUGCCUGCCUCGGCCUAUCAAAGUGCUGGGAUUACAGGUGUGAGCCACCACACCCGGCCACUAUAUUGUUUUUAUAAUAAAAAUAGUACAUAGGAAUUCCUUUACUAAUUCAAGAACUGUUUACUACUGAGUAUAUACUAUAACCUGCAUUAUUUAUUGUAUAACUAGAAUACUAAAGACUAACUCCAAAAAAACAUCUGCUUGCUUGUAUAUUCAGCAAACAAAUACUGAAUGUCUACUGGGUAACCUAACUAGGUACAUUCUAGGGAAUGAGAAUAUACUGAAGAACUACUAAGGGCCAAGUCUAAAAGAGGAGAGAGAAUUUAGUCAAAAACACAAUGUAUAGGUACAGUUCUGGAACUGUGCAUAGAAAAGGAAUCAAUAAGCCAGGAGGGGAAAUAGCCAGGAAAAUCUUCCUGAAGGAGGUACUACUUGAGCUGAAUCAUGAAAGGACUUGAGUUAAACAAGUUUAUGGGGCAGAGAGAACCAUUUCAAGCAGAAUAGAAACCAUUCAUUCAAUAAAGAGUACCUGCACAUGCCAGAUAUUAUUCUAGGUACCAGGUACACAACAGUGAAUCUUAUUUACUAAUGGUCAGACAAAUUUCCUGCCUCAGUAAAGCCUCCUAUUUCGUAGGGGUAGACAAUGAUCAGAUAUAUAAGUAAAGAUGAUGAUUUCACACAGUGAAAAAUACCAUGAAGAAAACAGAACAGGAUGAUAAGACAAAAUUCCUUCAGACAGUAUUCAGGCAGAAACAGCGUUCAGGCAGAGAAGGUUUCUUAAGUUGGGACUUGGGUACUGACAAGGAACCAGCCACAUUUUCAUGUGAAGGUGGAGAAAGAGUAUAUGUAAUAAUAAAAUUUCUAGUAACCAUAUUCAAAAAGGUGGAAACAGGUAAAAUUAAUAAUAUAUUUUAUGUAAUCUAUACCUAAAAUGUUAUCACUUUUACAUUUAAUAUAUAGUCAAAAUAAAAUUGAUAUCCUUCACAGUUUUUUGUUUCAAACUAAGUCUUCAAGAUCCAGUUUGUAUGUUAUACUUACGGCACAUUUCGAUUUAGAUUAGGCACACUUCAAAUGCUCAACAGACUGAUGUAGCUGGUAGUUAAAUUAUGCAACAGUGCAGCUCUAGGUAUCUUUGGGGAGAUGAGUUUGAGGUGUAAAGAUUGAAAGCAGUGUAUUAAUAUGGCUGUGGCAACAGCCCAGUGAGAAACAAUGAGGACUAGAAUUGAGUAUAAGUUUAAGGAACAGAGAGGUAAGGCAAAAAUUAAGAAAUACUUGGGAACUAAAAUUGGCAGGACUUGGUAAAUUUUGAAGGUGAGAUGAAGGAUACAGUCAAAAAUAACUCCUAGUUUUUAACCUGGGUGAGUGGCAUGGUGCCAUAAACUAGGUUAGAGAACAUGGGGCUUGAAGCAUGCUUAGGAAAAAAAAUGAGUUUAUUUUUUGACGUGUUGACUUUAAGGUACUUACGAAACAUCGAGGUGGAGGAAGCCCAGAAAACAACUGGAAAAAACUAAAAAGCUUCAGAUACAGACUGGGGAGUCACACAGACAGUGGUUGCAACCAUCAAAAUAAUUUAGAAGCUCUUUCUAUGAAAAGGACAGGCUACAAUGAGAGAUAAGUCUUCCAUCUAUAAGGGGAAUCACACUGUGUUUGACUACACUUGGUUGAGUUUAUUUCCAGUUUUUUUUUUUAAUACCAAAGACUCAAAGAGAUGAGAACUCUCUGAAAUGUUACAGAGCUUCUCUUUAUCUCUUAAAAAAUUUAAAUUCUAAUUCUAUGUUUGUUUACAUUUCAAGGUUUCUAAAUAUGUGUUAAUUACUAUAGAGUUAUUGUGGUUAUAGGAAUGGAGACAGUAAGAAUAAGAAUAGAUAGAUUACUGUUUUGAGAUGCAGGAUAGAGAAAAGGAAAAAAGACUAGACCAGAUGGCUUAAUGAGGUAAGGGAAAUCUUUUUAGAGUAGGGGACUCUUAAGCAUGUACAUAGGCUAGAAGGAAGGAGCCAGUAAUGACAAACAGUUUGAAGAUUUGGGAAAAACAAGGGACAACUGCCAGAGCUAGAUCCUGGGACAAGGGGAAAUGAGAGCAGUGCACAGGAGGAAGGACACCUUGUUACUUUAGACUGGGGAAAAUACAGUAAAAAGGGGUUUAGAUUAAAUAAGCAUGUAGGGAGAAGGUAGCUGAAGGAAAAUGAUUCCUGAUAGCCUCAAUUUUCUUAAGCUAGUAGGAGACAAGGUGGUCUGUAAGAAUAAAGAGGAAAAGGCUGAGUUAGGAGCUGAGAAAAGCAAUGAAAGUUAUAGUAAAACCGUCCCCCCUCCCCCCACUUUUUUUUUUUUUUUGAGACACAGUCUCACUCUGUCGCCAGGCUGGAGAGCAGUGGCAUGAUCUCGGCUCAUUGCAACCUCUACCUCCUGGGUUAAGUGAUUCUUCUGCCUCAGCCUCCCAAAUAGCUGGGACUACAGGCACACACCACCACACCCGGCUAAUUUUUGUAUUUUUAGUAGAGACGAGGUUUCACCAUGUUGGCCAGGCUGGUCUCGAUCUCCUGACCUCAUAAUCUGCCCUCCUGGGCCUCCCAAAGUGCUGGGAUUACAGGUGUGAGCCACUGUGCCCAGCUGUAAAAACCCCUUUUCAAGUUAACAUUUUUGAGAUAAAAAAUUUAAUAAUAUGUUAACAAAGGACAAAAUACAUUAAAGUUUAGAAAAAAGUUAAUCUCUCCUUCCUAUGACAUUCUUUUCACAAAACAUUUUGCUUGUGCUUAUACUGUCUUUCAUUCUGUAUAUACACAAUUUUUUUCUUUCCUGUAAUAUUGUAUUCUAUCUAGCAUUGUGAAAAGAAUUUAACUUUAGAGUAGAGCAAAUUGAAUAUAUAUUUGUCUUUUCCAUUAAAUUGUAAUGUCUUUCACAGAAAGAUCUCACAUCAGCAUUUUUCUAGGGCCCAUGUACCAUGCUGGACAUAGUAGGGGCUUAAUUAAUAUUUGCCAAACUGAAUUGAGGCUAUGUUUCACUCAUUUUUGUAUUUUCUGCACAAUGCUUUACCUUCCAACAAAUACUUGGGAAAGGCAACAUAGUCUCUGGGCAGCCUACACAUAUAAUGUGUCCCUGAAAACACCUAUUAAGUUUGUAGCUCCUAGGCCCUCCAGGCAAAAUGAAAUGGACAGCUGUGGCAAACAGAAAACUUUAAAACCAGAUUCUAAGGCUUUGACAAAGGCAGGAGGUCAGUCACACCUCCACAUUCCCUUAUCUCAUUAUCAGCCGCCAAGACUUUCUUUCCUAUAAUUAAACAGAAACCAGUCCCUAAAAACAAUGUGUGCAAGAUUUCUUCCCCAACCUCAACAGACCAUCUGACACUGUGGCCAAACUCCCCUCCCUUAUCGUGCUUUUGCCACGAUAGGUGACUAGCCUUACAAAGCAUUCCUUUUUGAUAAAUGACUGCUGAUCACAGACUCGUUCUGGCUGGUCCACAGAGACUGAGCACAAGAUGCCUCUGUGCUCUGCUCUGUGUUUCACCUUUUGACACAAAGAGCCGAAUUUCACUUCACUUUAAUGUUAACUGCCUACUCCGAAGUGAACAUGGGACAUAUGUAACAUAUAUGUUUACUCACCACACAUUUGGUUUCCCUCAUAAAUAUUCAUAAAUUCUCCUAUAACCUGCUAAAUAUGUAUGCGGAGCUAACCCCACUGGGGAUAAAUUCCAACCUCUCCCCUUUGUAACUGAAGCCUAUGUAUUUGGUUUUGGCUGGAAGCUUAGUUUCCUGACCUGCAGAUUGUAAUCCUUUACAGGAAAUAAAGCUUUCCUUUUGCUUCCUCUGCCAAUCUCAUGGUCUUUUGUUAAUAAGUUGAAUGUGAAAAAGUUAAGCAACAGACUUAUAUGAGGAUAAGUUCCUGAGAGCUAAAAAUAGAUAAAGCAAAACCCCUAUUAAACUUUCCUUGCCUUUUAGAUACAACCUUUAACGGCAUUGUUCUAACAUUUUGUAGACAUCAUUUUUUUCCUUUACAACAAAACACAGCUGCUUUUAAUUCAAUGAGUGUCACAAUGAUGUUUAAAAGUUGCUGCUUUCUGCAUGCCUAAUGAUUCCUAUAGCUGUUUUAACUGUAUUACACUUAUGAGACAUUAAAAAAAUUGUGUGUAAUAUCACCACAGAUAAUUCCCACUGAUUUCAAGAAAAACGAACAAAAUACAACAAAAUACAAAAAAAAAAAAAAAAAAACCACAUGAAUGCACUAUUAUUUGUGCCACAGAAGGUAAGGCUGCCAAAGCUCUCAGUUAGCAGCUAGCAAUACCAUGCAAAAGCAGGAAAUGUUCUCAAUCCAAAGGAUAAUUAAGAGGUAGGGUGUGUGUGUGUGUGUGUGUGUGUGUGUGUGUGUGUGUGUGUCUAUAGUCUAAUAACAAAAUACCCAAACUGUCCAGUUUUCAAUUAAAAAAAUCACUAGUCAUACAAAGAACAAGGAAGAUCUCAAACUUAAUGAAAAGACAAUCAAAGAUGUCAAAACUGAGAUGAUAGAGAUGUUGGAAUUACUGGACAAAGAUCUCACAGCAGCUAUGAUAAAAAUGCCUUAGCAAAGAAACAGUCUCACCAAAGAUACAGGAAACACAAAGAAGAACCAAAUAGAAAUAUUAGAAGCCAAAAAUACAAUAACUGAAAUAAAACUCACUGUUAACAGAAUAAUAGAAGGGACAGAGGAAAGAACUGGCAACUGAAAGAUAGAAUAGAAAUUUCCUAACCUGAACAAGAAAGAAAAUAGGUUGAAUUUAAAAAAUGAAAAGAAGCCAGGCGCAGUGGCAGUGGCUCAUGCCUAUAAUCCCAGUAAUUUGGGAGGCCGAGGCGGGUGGAAAACUUGAGGUCAGGAGUUCAAGACCAGCUUGGCUAACGUGGCGAAUACCCGUCUCUCCUAAAAAUACAAAAAUUAACUGGGCUUGGUGUGCGCCUGUAAUUCCAGCUACUUGGGAGGCUGAGGCAUGAGAAGUGCUUGAACCCAACGGGUGGAGGCUGCAGUAAGCUGAGAUUGCACCAUUGCAAUCUGUGGGGGAUACAUUCCAAAACCCCCAGUUGGUGCCUGAAACCAUGGAUAGUACUGCUAUGAUAAAGUUUAAUCUAUAAAUUAAGCACAGCAAGAGACUAGCAAUAAUAAUAAAGCAGAACAAUCAUAAUAUACUGUAAUAAGUUAUGUGGAAGGCUGGACGUGGUGGCUCACGCCUGUAAUCCCAACAUUUUGGGAGGCCGAAGUGAGAGGAUUGCUUCAGUCCAGGAGUUGGAGACCUCACCUUUACAAAAAAUAAACAAAAUUAAACCAGUGUGGUGGCGCACACCUGUAGUCCUAGCUACUCAGGAGGCUGAGGUGAGAGGGCUGCAUGAGCCCAAGAGGUCAAGGCUGCAGUGAGCUGAGAUUACACCAUUGCACUCCUGCCUGGGUGACAGAGUGAGACCCUGUCUCAAAAAACAAAACGAAAACCAUAAGAGUUAUGUGACUGUGGUCUCUUUCUCUCUCAAAAUAGCAUAAAGUUUUCAGACUGUGGUUGACCACCGAUAAGUAAAACUGCAGAAAGUGAAGGUAUGGAUAGGGUCGGGGGAAUACUGUGCAAAAAAGGCAACAGGGGGGAUCCUUGUGGUGAUGGAAAUGUUCUGUAUCUUGACUGUAUGAAUGUCAAUAUUCUGGCUGUGAUAUUAUACUAUGUUUGUAAAGUGUUACCACUGGGGAAACUAUGCAAAGGGUAUAUGGGAUCUCUCUGCAUUACUUCUUGCCAUGCAUGUGAUUCUACAAUUAUCUCAAAACAAAAUGUUUAAUUAAAAAAAAACCACAGAACUUGACUGUUCCUCAAAACCUUCACUGAGUUAACCACUUCCUCUUUGAAACCACCUUAUACCCUAUACAAUACUGAUAAUAUAGUAUUAUUGCACUUCCAUGUUCUAUUGUAAUUAGUCUAUUUCCCUUACCAAACCGUGAGCUCCAAGAGGAGGUUUUAAAGGCAAGAUAUGUUUUGUUCAUCUAUGUAUGCCUAGCAUCUAGUAGUGCCUGAUACAUUGAAGAUGUUUUGUAAAUGUUUGUUGAAUAAAACUGGAUGUGACUGAUGUAAUCAAGAAAGUAAUUUCAUUAUUAAACUAUUUAUAUUCAA